GACAUAGGAGGCAAACGUUAUCCGGAAUUACUGGGCGUAAAGAGUGCGUAGGUGGUUCAAUAAGUUACUGGUGGGAAAUCGGGGCUCAACCUCGUGGAAGUCAGUAAUACUAUUAAACUAGAGGGUCGGAGAGGUUAACGGAAUUCUAUGUGUAGCGGUAAAAUGCUUAAAUAUAUAGAGGAACACCAAACGGCGAAGGCAGUUAACUAUUCGAUUCCUGACGUUGAGGCACGAAAGCGUGGGGAGCAAGACGG
rnacentral:rRNA from 1 species